UAAUUAAAUAAAGAAAUAGGUGCAGUAGAUUUUCUACUGUUAAAAGGAAAGUGGAGUGUAAAUCUCUCACGGUCUCGCCGCUGUAAUAGAAGAGUCUUUUCCGUAGUGCCACUGGGUAACUGGGAAGGUGGAAAAGAUGUUGAUGCUUAAGUCAGAAUGCCUGCCAUUUCUUGUAUCUGUAA
rnacentral:ncRNA from 2 species